GACGAAGGGGGCUAGCGUUGUUCGGAAUUACUGGGCGUAAAGCGCGCGCAGGCGGCUCCUUAAGUCUGAUGUGAAAGUCCCCGGCUCAACCGGGGAGGGUCAUUGGAAACUGGGGAACUUGAGUGCAGAAGAGAAGAGCGGAAUUCCACGUGUAGCGGUGAAAUGCGUAGAGAUGUGGAGGAACACCAGUGGCGAAGGCGGCUCUUUGGUCUGUAACUGACGCUGAGGCGCGAAAGCGUGGGGAGCAAACAGG
rnacentral:rRNA from 1 species